GGAGGGGGUUUGUAGGGGAAGAGUGAUAGGAAAUAAGGUUGAAGAGGGUGGGGUGAGAGUAGAUCACGCAGGCCUUAUAGGAUGUGAUAAAAAGGGAUGAGAAAGAAAGCUGGGAGGAAGGAUAAUUUGGAUUUAGGGUAAGGGACAGCGUUGCUCAUCUACAGGACCACAAGGGGUUCUGUGCUGCAGGGGCAUAAGAAGGAGCAUGUGCCAUGUGGGGAAAGCAGGGAAGCAGGGCAGAGGGACGUAGGAGAGGAAGAUUAAGAGCCAAGGGGGAGGGGCAGGCAGGCAGGUCCUUUUCCAUCUUUUCAGUCAGGGUUUCUCAAUCAUUUUAAUGAGAGCCUCAGCCCUUGCGUAAAAAUCAAGCAAUAAAGGGAGGAAUGCCUCUCUGUUUAACUUGAAGGAGAGCUACAGAAGAUGGAAAAGAGGGUUAGUUGAAAUAAAGUUGGAGCUGAUCUCGCUUGGCUGGCUGCCCUUUCUAUAAAUAUCGCCCUCCCAGUCCUGGAAAUGCAGCAGUUAGGGUCCUUGUGAGCUACUGAGGAACAUCCUUCCUGUUCAAAUGCCCAGGACUUGGCUGCCUGUGCACUUCCAUAUGCAAAGCGCCUAGAAGCUGGGGAGAGGGAGAGUGCAGGGUCAAAAGUGGGGAAUUCUGAGCCAACUCCUUUUAUCCCCUGGGGGUGGCCUCACUUCCUCUGGGGGCACUGACAGCUCUCUGGCCUGUCUUCAGCUUAGAAAUCUGCAAAAGUCAUUGGCCAGGCUCAGGAGAACUAAUCCUUUGUGCCAGAGGUAUGGUGGUAUGGUGGGGAGCUAGCUCCUCGCUGGUGCUGAGCCCUGCUGCCCCUGGGGUUUUACUGGGAGAGAGGGAGAGGGUGGAGGGGCUAGUGUAAUUCGGCAAUUUGUGAGUUAAAAAGCAGAUGAGAACCCACAGAGUAACGAGACAUUCUUCUCUUUGCAUGCAAGAUUCUGCUGAAUGUUGGAAGAGGAAGGAAUAUUUUUCUUGCUUUUCAGACAUGACAUCCUGUGAGGGGAAGAUUUGGAACAGAUGGGGGCCAGGGGAGCCUCACUGUAUUUGCUUGUUUCACCACCACCUCCUCCCUCCCACAACCAGAAAUGUCUUUUUCUUCCCCCCUAGUGAAGUUAAUGUAAAGGCAGGUAGGGGGGAUGUCCUGUAGAUUAGGAAAGUAAGUUAUCAGGGGUCAGGGAAAAAUAAUCCAUUAGGUUUCCAGAAAGAAUCCACUUUUCAUUGCAGUCUCCUUCUAGGUCCAAAAAUAGACAACUAACUCAAAAUUGUAUCUUCGCUUUAAUCACUGCUCUGGUGAUAUUUGCAUUAAUGAAAGAGAAAAGAAAGCAUCCCCAACAGAUGGAAAAGGCGGCUCUCUGACUAGUGAAAGAACAACUUCCAGUAAAAGAAGGCUCUGAGGAUUAAGUGCUACGUGGGAGCAGUUGCCGAUUUUUGCAAUGGGAGGCUGCAUAGAUUCAAGGACUUCCUUGAGUGCUCCAGGAGCUUGUCAUUCCAGAGACAGAGCAGCCCAGAAGUCCUGGGAUUUACACCUCUAGUAGAAACCCUCAACCAGAGAAGGAUGGAAGUCAAUGGAAAGAAGAUAUUGAAAUGCAUGGAUAUUAUUUGCAAGGAUGGUCACUGAAGAAUUGUUUGCAAUUGUGGAAACAACCUAAGUGUCAACAGAAUGGUUGCCUGUGAUACAGUGGUACUAUGGCAUACUAAGCUGCCAAUGAAAAAGAAAGGCAAAUCUCUUUGCGGUAACAUGGAAAACAACCAUGGAGAUAUUAUCAACUGGAAUUUUUUUUCAGAAUUGCAGGUGGGUUGGGAAGCUCCAUUCUGUAUCACCCUCGCUCAAGGACCUGGACUGAAGGAUUUCUGCUUUCAAGAAGAAAAAAAAAAAUAGAAGACAUGUUUACUAAUACACUGGCCUCCUUAUUCCCUGAGACACAACAAUAUUGAAAUUAGGCUAAUCAAUAACCCUACAAUGUCCUCUAAGUGUUCAAGUGAAAGCAAGGGUGGCACAUCCCACACUUUAAAUCGAAAGCUAAAAAUGAUUAAGCUCGGUGAGGAAUGCAUGAGGAAAAGCCAAGAGAGGCCAAAAUAGAGGCCUUUUGUGCCAAACAGGUAGCCAAGUUGUGAAUGGAAAGGAAAAGUUCUUGAAGGAAAUUAAAAGCACUACUCCAGUGAACACACAAAUGAUAAGAGAGUAAAACAGCUUUAUUGCUGAUAUGGAGAAAGUUUGAGUGGUCUGGAUAGAAGAUCAAACCAGCAACAACAUUCCUUUAAGUUAAAGCCUGAUCCAGAGCAAGGCCCUAACUUGCUUCAAUUCAAUGAAGGCUGAGAGAGGUAAGGAAGCUACAGAAGAAAAAUUAGAAGCUAGCAGAGGUUGGUUCAUGAAAUUUAAGGACAUAAGGCAUUUCCACAACAUAAAGUGCAAGGUGAAGCAGCAAGCGCUCAUGUAGAAGCUGCAGCAAGUUAUCCAGAAAAUCUAGCUAAGAUUAUGGAUGGUGGUGGCUACACUAAACAAUAGAAUUUCAAUGUAGACAAAACAUCUAUCAGAAUAAGAUGCCAUCUAAGACUUUCAUAGCUAAAGAGGAGAAAGCAAUGCCUGGCUUCAACGCUUCAAGGGACAGGCUGACUGUCUUAUUAGGGGCUAAUGCAACUGGUGGCUUUAAGCUGAAGCCAAUUGCUCAUUUUCCAUACAGAAAAUCUUUGGACCCUUACAAAUUAUGCUAAACCCAGGCCAGGCACAGUGGCUCAUGCCUGUAAUUCUAGCACUUUGGGAGGUCAAGGCAGGCAGAUCACUUGAGCUCAGGAGUUCGAGACCGGCCUGGGCAACAGGGUGAAACCCCAUCUCUACAAAAAAAUACAAAAACUAGCCAGGUGUGGUGAAAUGUGCCUGCAGUCCCAGCUACUCAGGAGGCUGAGGCAGGAGAAUUGCUUGAGCCUGGAGGCUGAGGUUGCAGUAAGUCAAGAUCAUGCCAUUGCACUCCAGCCUGGGUGACAGGAGUGAAACCCUGUCUCAAAACAAAGAAUUGUGCUAAAUCUAUUCUGCCUGUGCUCUAUAAAUGAAAUAACAAAGCCUGAAUGACAGCACAUCUGUUUAUGGCAUGUUUACUGAAUAUUUUAAGCCUACCGUUGAGACUUACUCCUCCAGGGAAAAAAAGGGAUUCCUUUCAAAAUAUUACUUCUUAUUGGCAAAUGCAUCUAGUAACUCAAAAGCUCUGACAGAGAUGUACAAGGAGAGUAAUAUUUUCAUGCUUUUAACACAACAUCCAUUCUGCAGUCCAUGGAUCAAGAAGUCAUUUCAACUUUCAAGUCCUAUUACUUAAGAAAUGCAUUUUUUAAGGCUAUAGUUGUCAUAGAUAGUGAUUUCUCUGAUGGAUCUGGGCAAAAUCAAUUGAAAACCCUCUGCAAAGAAUUUACCAUUUUAGAUGCCCUUAAGUACAUUCACGAUUCAUGGGAGGAGGUCAGAAUAUCAACAUUAGCAGGAGUUUGGAAGAAGUUGAUUCUAACCCUCACGGAUGACUUAGAGGAGUUCAAGACUUCACUAGAGGAAGUCACUGCAGAGGUGCUGGAAACAGAAAACUAGAAUUAGAAGUGGAGCCUGAAGAUGUGCCUGAAUUGCUUCAAUCUUGUAACGGUUAAUACUGAGUGUUCACUUGAUUGGAUUGAAGGAUGCAAAGUAUUGUUCCUGGGUGUGUCUGUGUGAGCUUCCCUAGUUUUGAGGUUUUGGGACUUGGACUGGUUUCCUUGCUCCUCAGGUUGCAGAUGGCGUAUUGUGGCACUUCACCUUGUGAUCAUGUGAGUCAGUACUCCUUAAUAAACUCCCGUUCAUUUAUACAUCUAUCCUAUAAGUUCUGCCUCUCUAGAGAACCCUAAUACAAAUUUCAUGAUAAAACUUGAACGAAAGAGGAGCUGCUUCUUAUGGAUGAGCAAAGAAAGUGAUUUCUUGAGAUGGACUCUACUCCUAGUAGAGAUGCUGUGAACAUUGUUGAAAUGACAAUAAAGGAUUUAGAAUAUUCCGUAAACUUAGUUAAUAAAGAAGCAGCAGCAUUUGAGAGGACUGACUCCACUUUUGAAAGAAGUUCUACUGUUAUUAAAUGCUACCAAAUAUGGUACAGAGAAAUAUUUUGUGAAAGGAAGAGUCCAUUGAUAUGGCAAGCUUCAUUACUGUCAUAUUUUAAUAACUUGCCACAGCUACCUCAAACUUCAGCAACCACCAGUCUGAUCAGUCAGUAACCAUCAAUAUCGAGGCAAGACCUUCCACCAGGAAAAAGAUUAUAACUCACUGAAGGCUCAGACGAUCAUUACUAUUUUUUUUAGCAGCAAAGUAUUUUUAAUUGAGGUAUGUACAUUUUUAGACAUAAUGCUCUUGCACGCUUACUAGACUACAGCAUACUGUCAACAUAACUUUUAUAGGCACUGGGAACCAAAAAUUUGUAUGAUUCACUUUGUUGCAAUACUUGCCUUACUGUGGCAGUCUGGAACCAAACCCACAAUAUCUCCAAGGUCCACCUGCAAAUGCAGGCAGUGGGCCAGGUAUACAUGCAUACAAAUGCCUUAUGUGAGGGGUGGGCACUGAGGUUAACUAGAAAGCAUGAGCCUAUUUUUGCCUUGUGGUAAUAAGGGCCUCAUAUUGCCAAAUUUUUCCAUUUUUUUCAAAAGAAGUAGGAAAGGAAAUGCAGGCUUUUAAAAUGUGAAAUCCCAAUUUUCAAUUGUUGGUUCAAAAAAAACUUAAAUCUCAACUAGCCAAAUAAAAUGCAUCUGGGGUCCACACCCAGCUACCCUAUAGGAUACUAAUUUAAAAUAUCUGGACUAUAGUCUAUACUGAUGAGAGAAGUGGAGUGAAAGUUGGCAUUCCCUUGCCAUUAACUUCUAGCCUCCCAGUAGUCCAGGCUGCCUUGAAUAAACACCAGACCAUCAUACAAAACAUAGUUUUUAUCUUAUUUAUUUAUUUAUGAGUUGGGGGUCUUGCUGCAUUACUCAGGAUGGAGUGCAGUGGCACAAUCAUAGUUCACUGAGGCCAUGAACUGCUGUGCUCAAGUGAUCCUCUCACCUCAGCCUCCUGAGUAGCUAGGACUACAGGUGUAUGCCACCACAUAAGGCUAAUUUUAAUUUGUUUUUGAGAGACAGAGUCUUGCUAUGUUGCCCAGGCUGGUCUUAAACUCCUGGCCUCAAGCAAUCUUUCCACCUCGGCCUCUGAAAGUACUAGGAUUAUAGAAGUGAGCCACUAUGCUUGACCAAAACACAGUUUUUAAAUCAAUUUAUGUCUUUACUGAAAUCUCUUAAAGAUGCCAAAGGGUGGGGUUUGGGUUCCAUUCAUAACACCAACAUUUCUGAAGAAUCCUCUUCUCUUGUCUCUUUCUCAAGUCCUCCUCAUGACAUCUGUGUUAGUCCGUUCUCACACUGCUAUGAAGGACUGCCUGAGACUGGGUAAUUUAUAAAAGAAAGAGGUUUUAAUUGACUCACAGUUCCACAGGGGUGGGAAGGCCUCAGGCGGAAGGGGAAGCAACCACAUCCUUCUUCACAUAGCGGCAGGAAGGAGAAGUGCCAAGCAAAGGGGAAAAGCAUUUCAUAAACCCAUCAGGUCUCAUGAGAACUCGAGAACAGCAUGGGGGUAUGUGGAGGAAAAGUUAAAUCUUAAAUUUGAACUCAAUUGAAUGUGGACACAAACAAUGGUCACCAAGUCCCAGAACAGGUUGCAUGAGCCCCUUGAGGCGUUCAUCCAGACGGUUUUGGAGAAAUCUGUUCCUGUAUGUUAGUUAUUGAAAAACAACAAACAAUCAUAAAAACAAGUUGACCUUUUUGUGUUCCUUGAGUCCAGUCAUGAAGGGCCCUCGUGACUGGGCCUCAUGCCAAAUAAGUCGUUACAAAAAGAACUAGGGUCCCAUACCACGCCAAAGCUUCAUGAGACCUCUCCUCAUCUGUGCAUGGAUGAGUGGUCAACUCUGGAGCCCAGGCUGUUGCUUCCCUGUCUGGUGAUGAAUCCUCUAUAGUCUGGUAAGUGUAGUGGCCGACUCUGGAGCCCAGGCUGUUGCUUCUGGUCUGGUGAUGAAUCCUCCAUCGUCUGGUGAGUAUGUGUGUAUAUAUAUAUAUAUAGUCUAUGUUGAUGGGAGAAGUGGGGUGAAAGUUGGCAUUCCCUUGCCAUUAACUUCUAGCCUCCCAGUAGUCCAGGCUAUAUAUAUAUAUAUCUUCUCCCUUUUCCCCUUCCCAUUGCAAUUUGCUUGUAUCAUUUGCUUAUUAUAUCUGCAUUGCCAUUUACAUGGGAUAAAGGUUGUUUACCCUUAAAGGUAUUGCGUGCGUGUCUUUUCUUUUCCCUUUGUGCAUCUCCCUCAUAUAACAGAGUAACCGCCCCCAUGAUUCAAUUGCCUACCACUGGGUCCCUCCCACAACACGUGGGGAUUAUAGGAACUACAAUUCAAGAUGAGAUUUGGGUGGGGACACAGCCAAACCAUAUCAACAGCCCAGCAGCUACUUCAGUCCUCCUUAAUUUAUCUCUUGAAUUCUCCCAAACCCAGCUCAUCCCUGGCUUGUUUCUUUUAUUCUUUCUCUCGCCUUCUGAUCCAUUCUGCUUUCGUUAGUAUGUAACUCCCUGCCUUCUCUUAGGUAGACCCAUCGACCCAUCCUACCCAUGGUACUGCACAAUUCAGAAUCCUUUCCCACAUUUUCCCUUAUUAUGCACAAGAAAUACUCCAGGGCCAGGUGCAAUGGCUCACGCCUGUAAUCCCAGAACUUUGGAAGGCUGAGGCAGGAGGAUCGCUUGAGCCCAAGAGUUCAAGGCUGUAGUUAGUGAUGUUGGUGCCACUGCACUCCAGCCUAGGCAACACAACAAGACACUAUCUCAAUUAAAAGAAAAAAAAAGAAAAAAGAAAAAGAAAUACUCCAGAACUUGGCUAGUGAAGACUAAUUCCUCCUUCACAGGAAGGAAGUGGGGGCAGGGGAAAAUGUGCUGUAAAUACUCUAAAAUAUGUAUUUUUUCCUGUCCCAUCAGCUAUGCCAUCUGGGAUGGGGUGACGCCUGGAUGAGAUGUCAUUUUAAAGGACAUUUCUGGGACAUGCUGGCAUCAAGGCAAGUUUUCAGGUGGCUGCCAUUUCCUUGUCAUUUACCUUCUAUGGACAGGACAGAGUCUCCACCCAAACCACCACCCUCCCACAAAAGCGGGAAGGAGAAGCCAGAAGGGAGAGAAAUCAGACUUUUCCUGAUUUGUCUAAUAAUAGAAAGUUGGCAGAGCACGUCACAGAAUAGAAAGUAUUUGAUAAAAACAGCAUCUGUUCAGCUUGGGACUCGAGCCGGAGCUGCAUGGAAAUUUAAUUUAUUCCUUCCUCGAGUAUUCCCAUUAGAGUAUCACAAUUCUGUCUUUCUCAUUAAUGAGAGAAGUUGAAAACGUUGCUUCCUGUGACCAAAAUGGCUUUCUUUCCCAAGGGCUGAUGGCAGAGGAGGCGACAGCGCAGCUGAGCGAGCGGCCAGCAGGGGGCGCGGCCCUGUCGUCCUCACACCCACCCCGGACACGGAGACGCGGGGCGAGCGGGGCGCCCCUUACACAGCCUGCGAGGGAAGACCCAGGAGGUUUUCCAAACAAGAGGCUUUGCUGACUCUAGGGACCUAAGAAUAACCACUGUGUAGUAUCCUGACUGCCGGCGGCCUCAGUAAAAGUGGUAGACAGAGGCUUCCCUGUCGCUCAAGGAGCUCCCAGGGCUUUCUAGGCUUCCCGUUCUCCUCCUGUUUCCCAGGACCCACCAGAGUGCCCCCUGCAGGUCAGGACGGGAACCGACACCUGGCCUUUGUCAAAACGCAUUCCAGCGCCCAGUGAAUUACUGUCCUCACGCCUGUCACCUCUCCAUCUCCGGCUCCUCCCUGCUCUGGCUCCUUAAAGUCCUGCUCUGGGCAAAGUGGCCUUAACAGGAAAUCAAAGCUGAGCCAAACUAAUAAUAGUUUGGCUAUUGAUCAGGCAGCCCCUUUAAAUCACCCGGUGUUUUGUUUAAUUGCAGAAAAGUACACAUAACAUAAAAUUUUCCAUUUUAAAUGUACAGUUAGUUUAGUAGUGUUAAGUGCAUUCACAUUCUUGUGCAACCAUCCCCACCAUCCAUUUCCGGGGCUCUUUUCAUCCUCCCAGGCUUAAACUCCACACUCAUUAGACAAAAACUCCCCAUUCCUCUUCUCCCAGACCUGGAAGCCACCAUUCUGCUUUCUGCCUCUGAAUUUGACUACUCUAUGUACCUCUUAUAAAUGGGAUCAUAUUGUAUUUGUCCUUCUGUGACUGGCUUGGUUCACUUAGCAUAGUGUCCUCAAGGUUUACCCAUGUUGUAGUGUGUGUCAGAAUUGCCUUCCUUUUAGGGGUGAAUAAUAUUCCACUGUACGUAUAUACCACAUUUUAUUUGUCCAUUCAUCUGUCAAUGGCCACCAGGAUUGCUUUCACCUUUUUGGCCAUUGUGAAUAAUGUUGCAAUGAGCAUGGGUGUCCUUUUCGAGAUUGUUUUGACCUGUUGGUAUUUUAACAGGACUCUUUAGGAAGGUAAUCCCAAUGGAAUAGUUCAAGGUCCGAAGAAAGCUGAUGGGAACUAUUUUAGGAAGAAACAGAUUUAAUGUCCCUUGCAUCAAACCAUAUCACCUACAUAGGGGGCUGCCCUAGGAUAUAUGUUCUGAUAUCAUGCAUUUUGUAUUUCCUCACUGAAAAGGAUAAGAAGUUGUGCCCAGUGGAGGGAAAAUGUUUCUGACUCAAACAACUUCCAAGCCACUUGGCUCUCGGAAUCUUCGAUAGCCGUAGAUUGUUAGGCAGUGACAGUGGGAAGCCAGAGAGUGAUGCAGACACGAGCAGGCUUUGGUGUCAGACCCGGCGAACAUUUCUCCCGACAUGAGCUUCAAAUAUCUUCAUGAGCGGAUUCUUUGGGGGUCCUUGCUGAUUCAGCUUCUAUCCGCCCCUCUAUGCUUUCCUGUGCCUUCAGCUCUUAGUUUUUCCCCCAUCAGCAUUGCAAUAUGCUCAAGAAGUUAACAAAACAAAUUAACACAGAGAAAGCACAACCCUCCCUUAAGCCCUGCCUCCCUUCAGUUCCCAUCCUUCCUCUCUCUCUCCUGCUGUGGCCUAUAGCCUGUCUUCUUGAAGGAAUCAUCUUCACUUGCCACUUCCAUAUCCCCACUCCCAUUCACUCUUGAACCCGGUGCUCUCCUGGCACUGGAUUCUGAGGGUUUCUGAUGUGACAUCUUGGUUCAAGCUUCUGAUGGGAACUCAGCCCCCUGUUCAAGUCAAAAGCCCUGCAUCCUGAGAAGUCCUGGCACCUUGCUUCAGAGACAGUUCCUAGAAUACCAGAAG